CCUACGGGUGGCUGCAGUGAGGAAUAUUGGUCAAUGGUCGUGAGCCUGAACCAGCCAAGUCGCGUGAGGGAUGAAGGUUCUGUGGAUCGUAAACCUCUUUUGUAAGGGAAUAAAGUCCGGGACGUGUCCCCUUUUGUGUGUACCUUAUGAAUAAGGAUCGGCUAACUCCGUGCCAGCAGCCGCGGUAAUACGGAGGAUCCGAGCGUUAUCCGGAUUUAUUGGGUUUAAAGGGUGCGUAGGCGGCCUUUUAAGUCAGCGGUGAAAGUCUGUGGCUCAACCAUAGACUUGCCGUUGAAACUGGGAGGCUCGAGUAUGGUUGAGGUAGGCGGAAUGCGCGGUGUAGCGGUGAAAUGCUUAGAUAGCACGCAGAACUCCGAUUGCGAAGGCAGCAUGCCAAGUCAUGACUGACGCUGAUGCACGAAAGCGUGGGGAUCAAACAGGAUUAGAUACCCGUGUAGUC
rnacentral:rRNA from 1 species